ensembl:lncRNA
UCUGUAGGUAGAAUCCUCUCUCUCUGGUGUAGGUAGAACCCUCUCUCUAAUCUCUCUGGUGUAGGUAGAACCCUCUCUCUCAUCUCUCUGGUGUAGGUAGAAGCCUCUCUCUAAUCUCUCUGGUGUAGGUAGAACCCUCUCUCUAAUCUCUCUGGUGUAGGUAGAACCCUCUCUAAUAUCUCUGGUGUAGGUAGAAUCCUCUCUCUAAUCUCUCUGGUGUAGGUAGAAUACUCUCUAAUCUCUCUGGUGUAGGUAGAAUCCUCUCUCUAAUAUCUCUGGUGUAGGUAGAAUCCUCUCUCUCAUCUCUCUGGUGUAGGUAGAACCCUCUCUCUCAUCUCUCUGGUGUAGGUAGAAUCCUCUCUCUAAUCUCUCUGGUGUAGGUAGAACCCUCUCUCUAAUCUCUCUGGUGUAGGUAGAACCCUCUCUCUAAUCUCUCUGGUGUAGGUAGAAUCCUCUCUCUAAUCUCUCUGGUGUAGGUAGAAUCCUCUCUCUAAUCUCUCUGGUGUAAGUAGAAUCCUCUCUCUCAUUUCUCUGGUGUAGGUAGAAUCCUCUCUCUCUGGUGUAGGUAGAACCCUCUCUCUAAUCUCUCUGGUGUAGGUAGAAUCCUCUCUCUAAUCUCUCUGGUGUAGGUAGAAUCCUCUCUCUAAUCUCUCGGGUGUAGGUAGAAUCCUCUCUCUCUAAUCUCUCGGGUGUAGGUAGAAUCCUCUCUCUCUAAUCUCUCGGGUGUAGGUAGAAUCCUCUCUCUAAUCUCUCGGGUGUAGGUAGAAUCCUCUCUAAUCUCUCUGGUGUAGGUAGAAUCCUCUCUCUAAUCUCUCUGGUGUAGGUAGAAUCCUCUCUAAUCUCUCUGGUGUAGGUAGAAUCCUCUCUCUAAUCUCUCUGGUGUAGGUAGAAUCCUCUCUCUAAUCUCUCGGGUGUAGGUAGAAUCCUCUCUCUAAUCUCUCUGGUGUAGGUAGAAUCCUCUCUCUAAUCUCUCGGGUGUAGGUAGAAUCCACUCUCUCUAAUCUCUCGGGUGUAGGUAGAAUCCUCUCUCUAAUCUCUCUGGUGUAGGUAGAAUCCUCUAAUCUCUCGGGUGUAGGUAGAAUCCUCUAAUCUCUCUGGUGUAGGUAGAAUCCUCUAAUCUCUCGGGUGUAGGUAGAAUCCUCUCUCUAAUCUCUCUGGUGUAGGUAAAAUCCUCUCUCUAAUCUCUGGUGUGGGUAGAAUCCUCUCUCUAAUCUCUGGUGUGGGUAGAAUCCUCUCUCUAAUCUCUGGUGUAGGUAAAAUCCUCUCUAAUCUCUCUGGUGUAGGUAAAAUCCUCUAAUCUCUCUGGUGUAGGUAGAAUCCUCUCUAAUCUCUGGUGUGGGUAGAAUCCUCUCUCUGGUGUAGGUAAAAUCAUCUCUCUAAUCUCUCCUUUCUCAGCAUGUAGAUGGAAAGCAGAUCUGAACAUGAAGGAUGAGUAAAACAUGCUGGUGGUCUAACUUCACUGUGUGCUCAGCACCUUAUUUACAGUCAAUGGCUCAGCACAGAGCUGGGUGGGAAGUCUGCAGAAUAAUCCACUGAACUGAACCCACUUGUCACUGUUCACUGGCCUAGUGAUUUUUUUUUAUUUUUUAUUUAACCUUUAUUUAACUAAGCAAGACAGUUAAGAACAAAUUCUUAUUUACAAUGAUGGCCUACAUCGGUCAAACCCAGACUACGCUGGGGCAAUUGUGCACCGCCCUACGGAACUCCCAAUCACUGACACUGAACAAAGACAGCCCUGCUAGCUAGGUUUCUCUAACCUCUCUGGCUACAUCUUAUGCAGGAAGUGUAUUACAUAUGCAUCCAGAAUGUGACAAGAGUGAGUGAAAUGAUGAAAUCUCUGUGACCCAGAUAUAGUAUUUCCUGUAAUCUCACAAUCAGAGGUGGACAUGAAUUGUCUUCCUGUCUGAUUCAAGGUCAUGUUGGCUUGUUUUGUGGGACUAAUUCAACAUAUCUCAACCUUGAAUAGAUUGCUAUAGCAGAUCAUCACAUGACUACUUUGUCCAUAUCUGCAUAGCAUUUUAUAACAAUUAACAGGCUUUAUCUAUCUGAGAAAUAUCUGGCUCUUUGAGAAAUAGGUCAAUGGACAAUACUUGUGGAGCUGCUGCUGUUGUUGCUCAUGCAGCUGCCUGUUGGAAAUCUGGGCAAGACGGGUCUUGUUCCCCUGGCUUCGAUAAACCCCGGUCCUAACGAGAACCAGAUGCUGAAUGAAUCAGGCUAUUGUGGCUUCGCUGCCUGGGCUGCUGAAACUCUCCCUCUCACUCACUGCCCGUCUCUCUCUUUCCCCCUUACUUUCCCCUCUCACAUCUCUUACUGUCCUUCACGUUCCCCUCUCUCUUUCCCUCUUCCCUCCUCUCCCCUCUCUCUUUCCCUCUUUCCCCUCUCUCUUUCCCCUUUCCCCUCUCUCUUUCCCUCUCUUUCCCUCUUUCCCUCUCUCUUUCCCUCUUUCCCCCCUCUCCCUCUCUCUUUCCCUCUUCCCUCCUCUCCCCUCUCUUUCACUCUUUCCUCUCUCUCUUUCACUCUUUCUCCACUCCUCUCUCUUUUUCCCCUCUCCCCUCUUUCUUUCCCCUCUCCCCUCUCUCUCUCCCCUCUCCCCUCUCUCUUUCCCCUCUCCACUCUCUCUUUCCCUCUCCACUCUCUCUUUCCCCUCUCCC